ACAGCAGAAAAGUACAGUGAGGGAGGAAGAGGAGGACAAGAGUGAGAUGAUGAUGGAAAAGUGUAGCUUUUGGAAAUAAUCAAAUCUACAAUGGGACCAUUAUUGGCUUAGGGUGCAUCCUUUCUGAAGCAUUGUUUGUGUAAGAUGGACACAAACCUGGGGUCAACGCACAUGCCAUGUGGCGAAUGUUUGAGCAUCUACCCAGCCAAACAGACAGAAGUCUCGUCUCCGAACACAAGCAGCAGCAGGACAGAGUUUGGCCUUCUCUGUCUCUCACUCUGCCCUGCAGGCUACAACACAGACACACGGAGCAAGAAUGAGGACAGAGAGAGAGAGAGAGAGAGAAGACAAACAGAGUGAAAUGAGAUUUAAUGGAAGUGCAUAAUAUCUACAGAGACAGAGAGAGAGACAGAUGAAGGAAAGAGAGAACAACCAAUCAAUGGCAAAGUGGUACUUGAAGGAUUUUUUUUUUCCUAGAAAGAGAGACAAUAUUGGUAAAAAGGAAAAUGAGAUGGAAAGACCAAGGCCAUUUUUGUCAGAUGACAUUAUAUACACACAUUUUUUUAAUCAUAUAAAUAUUAUUAAAUAAAUAAAUAUUGUUAUUAAAGCAAGUAAUUACAUAAAUUAAUCAUAAUAAAUGAUUUUUUAAAUUAUUUUUUAUUUAUCAAUGUUGUAAAAAAAACCAAUGUAAAAUAGUAACAAAGACAAUUAUUAAUAUUAGUUGUUAUUAUUAUUAAUAUAUAAUACAACAAAAUACUACUACUGCAAAUAAUAAUCCACAAGGAAAUGUGGUGCAUAAACUGUCCGUAAGCUCCUGGAAAAUGUGGCUUGGGACGAGACAAAGUCUUUGCACAUCUCUGCAGCUGCUCUCCUGUUUUGUUCAUUCACCUCUAUUUUUAUCAACAAAAUCUUUUUCUUCUCAUCGCUGUAUCUGCAUUACUUCCACCUCUGUUCCCAAACCUGCUCGAGAAAUCGAGGGAGAGAGAUGUUGCACAGAGCACUCAGCAGUUGAAUCGAUUCCGGCCUGAUCUUUUUAGGUUAUACAUGUUUUGUGUGUUGCCUCAUUAUUUAACCAAAGCAGACCGGAGGCCAGCGAUGAUUCCAGCAGCAGUGCCCGGAGCAGCCUCAUUUUCAUCCAUUCAUACGACACGCUCAUAACAGCGCUAGGAGAGGAGGCCUGCUGAAAACGCCUGCUGAACGGACUCGGAGAUCAAUAAACAACACUAGAGAUGCUCUAUGGCUUUAUACUGUUGAAUCUCAGAUAAAAGAGAGAUCUGAAGAUGAUGAGACCCGCGCUCAAUAUGCUUGAAGAAAUAACUAAGUAAACUGAUUGGUUUGGGAAGAGUUUGUUUUUCGCUCUUGUAUAAGGACUGAGGAAGUCGGAUUCGAUUUACACCAAACGUGUAACAUUUAUAAGUAAUAUUAUUUAUUCUUUGCAGUUUUUAGUGAAGAUAUUUGAGUGAUAUUUCUAAUUAUAAUCGAUACUUCUUCAGUUCCCUGUCGUGUCUUCACACUGAAGCUAAUUGUGCUCCAAAUGUUAUGACAUCUGGAAUUGGGUGCGCUAGAUCUUAUUAAGGUUUGAAAAAUUGCAAAGAUUGCAAAAGGGGGUUGUCAUAGCGAUGUCACAGAGAAAGAGAAAAUUUUUUUAACAUUCUUAAAGGGAAAUUUACAAAAUACAAAUGAAGAACAUUUAUUUUUAAGAAUGUAUAUUAAAAUCAUAACAAAAUAUUAUAAUUGCAUACAUAUUAUAUAUAGAGAGAGAAUUAAAGUUAUUGUAAUGCCAGAAUGCAAUACUCUUAAAUGUAAAAAAGGAAGAAUCUGCUGACAUCAGGAAGCAGAAGACAUCAAAAUUUGAGAAAUACUUUUUUUUGUAACUAAACCUUAUAUUUUUCUGACAGUUAGCUACAAGGCAAUGAAGAAAGUUAUUAUUAUGUACUAAUCCAGCAACAAAGAAUGUGUUCACAUACAAUAUAUAGUACGAAAUCACCUGUUACUUGAC